rnacentral:piRNA from 1 species
UUUUGGACAGGUUGGCCACCGGCUG